rnacentral:tRNA from 1 species
CGGGGUGUAGCUCAGGGGCUAGAGCGCCUGCUUUGGGAGCAGGAUGUCGCAGGUUCAAUUCCUGUCACCCCGA